UGACAAGAGCUUUAUUUAUAAAGCUGCCAGCGCCUGGUGUGGGUUUACUCACUCUCCCAUCUGGUGACUAUUGCUACCACCUCCCUCAGUCUCUCAGUGCUAAUGAUGUACUUUGAUUAGCUAGAUCUGCUGCUUCACUCAGCUAUCCAUCAGUCGCGGGUUAAAACUGACUUUUAUUGUGCUUUUAUUGGCUUGAGUAAAAAUCUGAGAGGAUCUUAUUGAUCACAGAAGCUGCUGGGAUGGCAGAUGUGGACCAGAUGCUUCCUGCUCUGGUGCAAGCAGCUCUGCCUGGGUGUAGGAUUGGGCAAAGGAUAUUGCUUGCUCUUCCCUGUUGCCGCUCUUCCCUGUCCUGUUCCUUUCAGGCUCUGGAUUCAGUGUAUGCUCGAGCCCAGAACCCCGCCGUGUGCUGGGCUGCACCCCCAGAGCAUGAGCAGCAGGUCAUGGAGGGGAUUCUCCCCCUCUACUGUGCUCUGGGGAGACCUCCCUGCAGUCCUGAUCCAGCUCUGGGGCAACAGCACAAGAGGGACGUGGAGCUGUUGGAGUGACUCCAGAGGAGGCCCCGGAGCUGCUGCGAGGGCUGGAGCAGCUCUGCUCUGGAGCCAGGCUGAGAGAGCUGGGCUGGGGCAGCCUGGAGAAGAGAAGGCUCCUUAAGGGGAGACCUUAGAGCAGCUCCAGUGCCUAAAGGGGCUCCAGGAAACCUGGAGAGGGGCUUUGGGCAAGGGCCUGUAAGGACAGGACAAGGGGAAUGGCUUUAACCUGCCAGAGAGGAGAUUGAGAUGAGCUCUGAGGCAGAAGCUCUUCCCUGUGAGGGUGUGAAGCUGUAGCUGCCCUGUCCCUGGUAGUGUUCAAGGCCAGGCUGGACACAGGCUUGGAGCAACCUGCUCUAGUGGAAGGUGUCCCUGCCCAUGGCAGGGGGUUGGAACUGGAUGAGCUUUAAAGGUCCCUUCCAACCAACACCAGGCUGGGAUUCUGUGAGCCUGCUUUCUUCUGGUGGCAGUUGUGUGUUGGGGACCCGGUGUGGGCCCUGUGUACCGUGGGCCUGGUGUCCCCUCUCCUGAAUGCUGCAGUCAUUUUAUUUUGCUGUUGCUUUCCUUUAGUUAUGAAUAGAAGAGGGAAGUUCUGCUUCCGUGGCUUGGUCUGUCCUUGUGACACUGGUGAAACUGCUGACACUGGCGCAGAUGGAGGUGCUGGUUUCCAAUCAGGACCCUCCAUCAGGGCAUCUUGAAGAGGCUUCCAGAGCCGGUUGUGGUUCACAGUGAGCCUGGAGCCCAUGUGUGGUGUGGGGCUGGGGCUGCGGGCCUCGGGAGUGUGCUCUAGGCUCUUCCACUUGCUCCUGGCUUUGGGCAUGUUUCUUCAUCUCUCUUCCCCAGGGCCACUGGCUGCUUUUUGUGUGACAGUGGGUUAGGGAGGGAUGGGUGUCAAUGACAACCAGGCCCCGCUUUUUAUGUCCAUAAAUGAAAAGUCUUGAUUUCCCCUUGUGCUCCAGCUGAAGAAACAUUUGUUGGGAUGUCAGGCGUGUCGCAGCUCAGCACUAACCCUCUCUCUCGGCCUCCUCAGCAUCUUUGUUGAGUUCUGGGUUGAACGUGGAAAUAGGGAUAGUCGAGUCGUUACCACCGGACGCCUUUGUUCUUUCCAGAGCGGCUCCCGCCGGUGCUGGCGGUGGAUGCGCGUUCCCCGGCUCUACCGGGAGCCGUGGCCGAGCCGGGCACCAGCCCAUGGAGCCGCUUUUUCCCUGCGGGGCACCGGCGGGGAGGGCGGGGGGACACCCCGCGACCCGUUCCCAUCCCGCCGCGGGGUUGGCGGCCGAGACCCCGGCUCCGAGC
rnacentral:lncRNA from 1 species